CCCUUUCCCUUGGUUUAAAAACCCUGUCAGUUGUUUGCUCUAGAGCUCAAUCUCUUUGUAAAUGCCAUGUCUGUAGGGCUAUGUGUUUCACACUCUCUUUGUGUAUUGACCUCUUGUUUGAGCACCUCUAUAGCACUUUGUCAUCAUCUACUGUCGGGCCAAAAGGGAUUUGUAACACUGACCAUACUAAAUAAAGACAAAUCAAAGGAAAUAAAGGUCACCAGGCUGCUUGUUAUGGAGCACACCUGUCGCCAUCAGACUCACCUGGACUCCAUCACUUCCCUGAUUACCUUCCCUAUAUAUGUCACUCCCUUUGGUUCCUUCCCCAGGCGUUAUUGUGUCUGUGUGUUUUUUAUUUUGUAUUAUGUUGUGUUUAUUUAUUAAAACACUCACUCCCUGAA